CUCACUAGAACGCUGCUUUUUAGAACCCUACCCACCUCACUAGAACCUGCUUUUUAGAACCCUACCCACCUCACUAGAACGCUGCUUUUUAGAACCCUACCCACCUCACUAGAACGCUGCUUUUUAGAACCCUACCCACCACACUAGAAUGCUGCUUUUUAGAACCCUACCCACCUCACUAGAACCUGCUUUUUAGAACCCUACCCACCUCACUAGAACCUGCUUCAUGAUUCUCUGUAGUCGUCAGUAAACAAGUGUGUCUCUUCCUUGUCAACCCAGCAGAGCAGGGCUCAUGUUAACCUCACUUUGACCCACAGACGGACACAANNNNNNNNNNGGGGGAUGAUAUCAGUAGUGUUAUUGGGGGGGAUGAUAUCGGUAGUGUUAUUGGGGGGAUGAUAUCGGUAGUGUUAUUGGGGGGGAUGAUAUCUGUAGUGUUAUUGGGGGGGUGAUAUCGGUAGUGUUAUUGGGGGGGGUGAUAUCGGUAGUGUUAUUGGGUAGGGGAGGAUUGGGACGAUAUCAGUAGUGUUAUUGGGGAGGAUAGGGACAAUAUCAGGGGCUAAUAUGGAGGGUUCAGGGCUAAUAUGGAGGUACCUGUAGCUCAUAGAGU
rnacentral:lncRNA from 13 species